rfam:Glycine soja cultivar W05 scaffold1459_2, whole genome shotgun sequence.
UUGUGAUUGAACGUUGAUUGUCACAUGUCAUGUUUUAAUUGGACGUUGACAACAACAAUACAUUUUCAUUAUCCAAUCAAAAUGUGACUGUUAAAGUUACAACCAACGUCA